AUGGCCAGGGACCUCUGCGCUCGCGGCAGCCUGCGCCAGAUGAACGCGCGUCUCGCCGACUGCGUCUCCUACCACAUCCACAUCGAGAGGUGCGUGCAGCGGCUGGGGACGCUGGUGGGUCCCAUCGUGCUGGGCCAGUUCCUCGCCGACAUCGUCACCAUCAGCGCCGCCACCUUCGUGGCCACCGUCUCGGAAGCGGACUCGGUGUGGCUGCUCAAGUUCUCGUCCUACCUGCUGGCCAUCGCCGAGCAGCUGCUCC